GUGGAUUUACUAGGAAGGUGGGACGUUGGAGGGGUGGCCGCAUGGAGUGAGUACUGUCUCUGGCCACCGAGCAGAGCCAGUGACAGCAGCGUCCUGGUAGGCAGGCAGGCGUAUCAGGUUUCAGAGGAUGCGGCUGGGAACGGGAGUAGAGGUAUAUGAGCUCCCUGAAAGCACAAAGCAGUUAUUUCCAUCUUCAGAUCAUUCAGAGAUUAUGAAGGCACAAACCCUGCCUUCAAUUUGCUUAUAGUCAAGUGGAGCAGACACAAGUCAAUGAUUGCAGUAUAGCCACUGAAGUAAUCUAAAAGAGGUGAGUGUGGCACUUAACCUCUCCUGGGAGGGGGAGGAAUAAGGCAGUGUUUCCAAGAGGUGAUUUUGGAGCUAUACAGGCAUUAGGUAGACAAGGAAGGGGAGGUCCAUUCUGGGUGCCUAGGACUCUGUGGCUGAUUUAUAAAUCGUAAAUGGUACAAAAAACAGUGUUGAGUAUCUUUUACCUUUCUCCAGAGUACUGUUCUUACUUUUGGAUAGUGCUUCUUGUUUUUUCCUUCCCUCUCCCUGUCCCU
rnacentral:lncRNA from 10 species